GUUCAUAAAAGUGCAAGUUGUGGUGAGCCGACAGAAUAUGCAUCAGACUCACAAGAGAAGAUGAGGUGUGUUUCUGUGACUCUUCUGCUGUGCCUGGCUACGAUGCUGCUCGAUCAAGUCACCUGCCAAUUAAGUGGCGUGUCAAAUUGCCCUUGUCUCAAGACAACAGAUCGGGUUUACCGCAAGGAAGAGAUGGAAGAUUAUAUUAAACAAGAAGCAGGCAUCUGCCCAAUUGAUGCUGUUUUAUUUAAAUCAAUCAAUGGUCUUUUUAUUUGUGGCAAUCCACAAAAGCUUUGGGUGAAAAGAGCUGUGGAGUUUUUGGAUAAGAAGAAGAUGCCGGCAGUUAAAACAACAGUGCGUCCCUUAAACUCCACAC